rnacentral:rRNA from 1 species
AUUGAACGCUGGCGGCAUGCCUUACACAUGCAAGUCGAACGGCAGCGGGGGAGAAGCUUGCUUUUCCUGCCGGCGAGUGGCGAACGGGGGAGUAAUACAGCGGAACGUGCCCUGUAGUGGGGGGUGACUAGUAGAAAGAUUAGCUAAUACGGCAUACGACCUGGGGGUGACAGUGGGGGCGCGCAAGGCCUCAUGCUAUAGGAACGGCCCAUGUCUGAGGGGCUAGUGGGUGGGGUAAAGGCCUACCAAGGCGACGUUCAGUAGCUGGUCUGAGAGGACGAUCAGCCACACUGGGACUGAGACACGGCCCAGACGCCUACGGGAGGCAGCAGUGGGGAAUUUUGGACAAUGGGCGAAAGCCUGAUCCAGCCAUGCCGCGUGUGUGAAGAAGGCCUUCGGGUUGUAAAGCACUUUUGGUCGGAAAGAAAUGGCUCUGGUUAAUAUCUGGGGUAGAUGACGGUACCGGAAGAAUAAGGACCGGCUAACUACGUGCCAGCCGCCGCCGUAA